rnacentral:lncRNA from 1 species
UCGUGGAGGAGGAGGCAUCCUCAGCAGAAGGACAAGGGCAUGAGGUGGAGGGCAGUUUCACAAGAGAGGUAUAUUUACGUUGUUGUGUGUUCUUUUUUGUUUAUGUAUGGUUUUAUUUCAUUUAUUAAUACUUCCAGAUAGCUGAAGCUAGUAAGCUGCUAAAACUUUUCAUAUUUAUUUUGCAGAUAGAGAUUUUGACAAUUUUGUAGUACUAUAUUUUAUAUGAAAUGAAGCUUCCAUAGUUUAGAUUUUUUUUUUGAUACGAGGUUUGCCCCAUUUCCAUUUCACAAUAAUGGAAAUUCCAGAAAGUUCAGGAUACAAGAAGUAACAAAAGAAGCAACCACCAUGAUCUAUCUAACCUGAUUCAAGCUAGACUAGACCCAUGAAUUCCCAAGAUUCCCAGGAUAGGGGCACAACAUGUUUCAGGAAACCUACGUCCCACCACCUGCCCUACUACAAGUUUUCUGCAACUUAAGAGAUAACAAAAGGCGAAGCUGGUCUCAUCACAACUUCUCACAAACCACCGUUUUU